UUGCAGGCUCCUGUUCCCGUACGAUCACAUAAGUUAAGCAACGUCGAGUCUGGUCGGUAUCUUGAUGGGUAGCCGCUUGCGAAUACCAUGUGCUGUAAG